ACAACUAGCCUAAUAAACUACUAAAUUCACUAUCAUAUUAUAAUAUAAACUAAAUCAUUCACUGAUAAUAAGUAUAGGUGAUAGAAAAUUAAACAUAGCGCUAUAGAGAUAGUACCGUAAGGGAAUGAUGAAAGACACAUAAAAGUAAUAAAAAGCAAAGAUUAAUCCUUUUACCUUUUGCAUAAUGAACUAACCAGAAACACCCUGACAAAGAGAACUUUAGCCAGAAACCCCGAAAUCAGACGAGCUACCUUAGAACAGCCUACUACAGGGCCAACUCAUCUAUGUGGCAAAAUAGUGAGAAGAUUUUAAGGUAGAGGUGAAAAGCCUAACGAGCCUGAUGAUAGCUGGUUGUCCAGAAAAGAAUUUUAGUUCACCUUAAAACUUACCUUCACUACUAUCCAUAAAGUUACUGUAAGUUUUAAAGCUAACCUAAAGAGGUACAGCUCUUUAGAUAAAGGAUACAACCUAAAGUAAAGAGUAAUAAAUUAAAUAUUCAUAGUAGGCCCAAAAGCAGCCAUCAAUUAAGAAAGCGUUAAAGCUCAACACUAAAAUAUAACUUAUACCAAUAAUAUAACUCAACUCUUACUGAUCAAACUGGACCAAUCUAAUACUCAUUAGAUGUAACACUGUUAGUAUAAGUAAUAAGAAAAAUUUUCUCCCUGCACAAGUUUAUAUCAGAACGAAUAACUCACUGAUAGUUAACAACUAGACAUGCAUAAUCCAAUAACAAGAACUUAUGUCACCGUAUUUUUGUUAACCCAACACAGGAGUGCAAUCAAAGGAAAGAUUAACAAAUGUAAAAGGAACUCGGCAAA
rnacentral:rRNA from 1 species